UGGGCUUCGUGUAGGUAUCCUCAAUUCGCGGAAAUUCGACAGUUGUCCGGAUCUGUGAAUUUCCGGACAGACAGACCAGCUACCGGAAAAGUCUCCGAAUUGGAUCGAGAUUUUGGCUACCCCACCAUUGUUAGGCAUCCCGAGCACGUUCCCUUAGUCGGAAUCGGCAAAGGUGAGCCGGGACAGCCUUCUUCCUCCGCCCAGCCGCCACAGUAAUUUGUCGUCAAGUCUGCCACAGGAGGAUAUUUUGUUCUGGGUUAACCUGCCUUUUUACCUCGCAGGUUGUUUAUCAAUAUUGUGUAAUUUUAAUUACUCCUAGAAUUUCCGCAUGUGUUAGCAGUAAUUAUUUGAAAUUGGUCUGUAAUAUUAUAUUCAUGUUGGACCUGUAAACUUAAUAUUUUAAGUCUGUUUGAUGGAUUGGAUGAGGGAGCUGAGCUCCCAUUUAUUAUUAUGUUGAUGAGUAUGUGGAGGGUGAGCUGAGCUCCCCAAUGGAUUGUUUAUUGUGUUUACAGGUCGGAUGAGUCGAAAACUCCCCGUUGGAAAGUCCAUUUUAUGGCCGGACUCUGUCCGUUUGUUUUCUUGAUAUUGGGCCCAAAUGGGCCUUAGAGUUGGGUUAAUGAACAGUUAGGCUUACUACGGGCCUCGGGGGCUUUAGGCUGGCCCAGGUCCUAGUGCCGGUCCGGCCCAUAGGUUGGGUCGUGACAGAUGUGGUAUCAGAGCUUAGGCUCCAGAUUCAUAGGGAAAAAUCAUCUAAGUGUUGGGAAGAGUCUACUAGGAGUCACAUGCAGAGUAUAGGAUUCUGUUUCGUCUUUUUCUGUAAUUCUUUGUUUCUAGAUUCUACGUUAUACCUCGGGAAAUAUAAGAUUACCUCAGUUAAUGUCUUGAUUUUCGUGGAGUACAUAGAAAUGUGAAAUAUAGUUAGUAGACAUGCGAGGUCUAUCAUGAGGAUACGUACUCCAAGAAAUGUUAUAUUUUUGUCAGUAUGGGUUUAAAUAGUGUGCCCAUUUCGUGCAAGGCACGAGUACAUAAAAGUAAGUCCUGAAAGUACAGUUGCCCUAGAUAAGGAUGAGGAUACCACUGCUGGCAAUCAUCAGUAGAUGACCCAGUCAGAAUAAGUUUUUGAUAAUAGAAGAUUCAAGAGAGAUAAGAAAUUGGGAGACCUAGUCUGUCAGGACGUAUCGUAGUAACUAUACAAUGUUCUC